GGCCCCGUAGCUCAGACGGAUAGAGCAACCGCCUCCUAAGCGGUAGGUCGCGCGUUCGACUCGCGCCGGGGUCACCA
rnacentral:tRNA from 1 species